rnacentral:rRNA from 1 species
AGUGAACGCUGGCGGUAGGCCUAACACAUGCAAGUCGAACGGCAGCACAGUAAGAGCUUGCUCUUACGGGUGGCGAGUGGCGGACGGGUGAGGAAUACAUCGGAAUCUACUUUUUCGUGGGGGAUAACGUAGGGAAACUUACGCUAAUACCGCAUACGACCUACGGGUGAAAGCAGGGGAUCUUCGGACCUUGCGCGAUUGAAUGAGCCGAUGUCGGAUUAGCUAGUUGGCGGGGUAAAGGCCCACCAAGGCGACGAUCCGUAGCUGGUCUGAGAGGAUGAUCAGCCACACUGGAACUGAGACACGGUCCAGACUCCUACGGGAGGCAGCAGUGGGGAAUAUUGGACAAUGGGCGCAAGCCUGAUCCAGCCAUACCGCGUGGGUGAAGAAGGCCUCCGGGUUGUAAAGCCCUUUUGUUGGGAAAGAAAAGCAGCAGCUUAAUACCCCGCUGUUCUGACGGUACCCAAAGAAUAAGCACCGGCUAACUUCGUG